rnacentral:rRNA from 1 species
GUUGUAUGGUUAAGUGACUAAGCGUACAUGGUGGAUGCCUUGGCAGUCAGAGGCGAUGAAGGACGUACUAACCUGCGAUAAGCCGUGAGCAGUCGGUAAGAGACAUUACGACUCACGGAUUUCCGAAUGGGGAAACCCACUUAGCAUAAGCUAGGUAUCGCUACGUGAAUACAUAGCGUAGCGAGGCGAACCGGGAGAACUGAAACAUCUAAGUACCCCGAGGAAAAGAAAUCAACCGAGAUUCCCUCAGUAGCGGCGAGCGAACGGGGAUUAGCCCUUAAGCAUCUUGGAAGUUAGUGGAACGGUCCUGGAAAGGCCGGCGAUACAGGGUGAUAGCCCCGUACACGAAAACAACCUUGAUGUGAAAUCGAGUAGGGCGGGACACGUGACAUCCUGUCUGAAUAUGGGGGGACCAUCCUCCAAGGCUAAAUACUCCUGACUGACCGAUAGUGAACCAGUACCGUGAGGGAAAGGCGAAAAGAACCCCUGUGAGGGGAGUGAAAUAGAACCUGAAACCGUGUACGUACAAGCAGUGGGAGCCCUUCGGGGUGACUGCGUACCUUUUGUAUAAUGGGUCAGCGACUUACAUUUUGUAGCGAGGUUAACCGUAUAGGGGAGCCGUAGGGAAACCGAGUCUUAACUGGGCGUCUAGUUGCAAGGUGUAGACCCGAAACCGGGUGAUCUAGCCAUGGGCAGGUUGAAGGUUGAGUAACAUCAACUGGAGGACCGAACCCACUAACGUUGCAAAGUUAGGGGAUGACCUGUGGCUGGGGGUGAAAGGCCAAUCAAACUCGGAGAUAGCUGGUUCUCCCCGAAAGCUAUUUAGGUAGCGCCUCGGACGAAUACUACUGGGGGUAGAGCACUGUUUGGGCUAGGGGGUCAUCCCGACUUACCAACCCCAUGCAAACUCCGAAUACCAGUAAGUAAUAUCCGGGAGACACACGGCGGGUGCUAACGUCCGUCGUGAAGAGGGAAACAACCCAGACCGCCGGCUAAGGUCCCAAAGUUCUGGUUAAGUGGGAAACGAUGUGGGAAGGCUCAGACAGCUAGGAUGUUGGCUUAGAAGCAGCCAUCAUUUAAAGAAAGCGUAAUAGCUCACUAGUCGAGUCGGCCUGCGCGGAAGAUGUAACGGGGCUCAAACCAGGCACCGAAGCCGCGGAUUCACACUAAGUGUGAGUGGUAGGGGAGCGUUCUGUAAGUCUGCGAAGGUGUGUCGAGAGGCAUGCUGGAGAUAUCAGAAGUGCGAAUGCUGACGUAAGUAACGAUAAAGGGGGUGAAAAGCCUCCUCGCCGGAAGACCAAGGGUUCCUGUCCAACGUUAAUCGGGGCAGGGUGAGUCGACCCCUAAGGCGAGGCCGAAAGGCGUAGUCGAUGGGAAGCAGGUUAAUAUUCCUGCACGACUUGUAAUUGCGAUGGGGGGACGGAGAAGGCUAGGUGGGCCAGGCGACGGUUGUCCUGGUGAAAGUGCGUAGGUGGUGUUUCUAGGCAAAUCCGGAGACACAACACUGAGACACGAGACGAACGCACUACGGUGCGGAAGCCAUUGAUGCCCUGCUUCCAGGAAAAGCCUCUAAGCUUCAGAUUACAAGUCAUCGUACCCCAAACCGACACAGGUGGUCGGGUAGAGAAUACCAAGGCGCUUGAGAGAACUCGGGUGAAGGAACUAGGCAAAAUAGAACCGUAACUUCGGGAGAAGGUUCGCUCUUGACAGUGAAGUCCCU